GGUUGUUACAGAGACCAGGGGAUGUGGAUGCGAUGUGAACAUAAAAUAUUAAGAUUGACUGCCUUCUUAUGGAAAUUGCAGCUAAGUACAGGCCAGGUGUGGUGGUUCAUGCCUGUAAUUCAAGCCUUUGGGAGGCUGAGGCAGGACGAUGACUUGAGGCCAGCAGUUCAAGACCAGCCUGAGCAACAUAGCAAGAUCCCUCUCUAU